CACAGUACACUUUUUGGGUAAUAAUGAACGUAAAAUAUAUAUCUGGUUAUUUCAAUACGGUAUGUGUCAUCUUCAUUUCCUUCUAAAUCAAAGAUAAGUAUCCAUUUUGCAGAGAAAAUAAUUAGAACAUAUUUGCCUUUCACUUUAUGAAGUACUUUCAUUAGUUUAAAUAACAUCAUCUGAUUUGAUCCUUGCACCAAGUCUGAGAUGUAGGAUGGUUACCAAAGCACUUCUCUUGAUUUUACAGUGAGGAAACUUAGGCUCAAGUUGACACUCAAGCUCACCUUGCAAGAUAGUGGCAGAGCUGAUAAGUUCAAUGCUCUUUCUGUCAUCCCAUGCUGCCAUAAAUGGGGUAGAGAUGGAGUUUUGCCACGUUACCAAGGCUGAUCUUGAACUCCUGGGCUCAAACGAUCCACCCACAUUGGCCUUCCAAACUGCUGGGAUUACAGGCAUGAACCACUCUGCGUGGCCAAGUACUUUCAGAAUAUAAACUUUUGGUAUGUUAAAAUGUAAAAGAUUAUUUUAUGUAUUUUUUAAACUAUUGGAAUGAAAUAAAAAGCAAUAACAAAUCAAAGAUGUUGGUUUAUCGUAAACCAAACUAAGCUGGUUUGGAAUACAUAAAAGUUGCUUGUUGUAAUAAUGACAACUAAAUGAGUAGCCUCCAAAAAUAAUCCUUCAAAUACUUGAACUAAACUUAAUAGAAGUUGGUGUUCAAGUUGGCGGAAUACUUGAAGUGUUCUGGUGUAAAUCAGCUAGUAAAUGAAAAUUUAGGUAAGCUUUUGAGAAUACAUGUUUCUUAUUGAUCUCUUUCUUCUUUUUAAAAUUUAUUUCUUAUAUGGUGUAUAAGAAAGUAUCUGUUAGAAUAAAAAGACUAAAAUAAAUGGCAAGAGGCUGGACAUGCUUCUUUGAAUGCAGUUUUUGACUUGAGUGUGUCCUGUGGUAGGUGACAGGUACUGUCCCAAUAUCCUCACUUAUUUGACAGUCCCCAUUUAGUCAUGAGUUUAGUGGAGAAAUAGAACAUAUAUAGUAUUUGCUAGAUGCAAGGACAAGCACACUGAGCUCACUUCAUAACCACAUGCUCAUCACUGCCCUUGGAUAAUACAGUAAGGUUCUCUCCCUCUCUGUCUUGCUUACUUACAAAUUUUAAAACAGGCCAGGUACCAUGGCUCACGCCUGUAAUCCCAGCACUUUGGGAGGCCGAGGAGAGCGGAUUGCCUGAGCUCAGGAGUUUGCGACCAGCCUGGGCAACACAGUGAAACCCCAUCUCUACUGAAAUACAAAAAAAUUAGCUGGGUGUGGCGGUGUGUGCCUGUAGUCCCAGCUACUUGGGAGGCUGAGGCAGGAGAAUUGCUCGAACCUGGGAGGCUGAGGUUGCAGUGAGCCAAGAUCACACCACUGCACUCCAGCCUGGGCAACAGAGCGAGACUCUGCCUUUAAAAAAAAAAAAAUUUAAAACAUACCUACUGUCAAAAAGCUGUGGGCCUCACUUAUAACAAUAUCAGAAUCACAGACUUGUAUCACAGUUAAGUGGCAGUUGGCCUCAAAGUAGAAGUGGAAUAUAGGCACACCCAGUCAUAGAAAACUACAAUCUAGGCUCUGCCAAAUUCAUUAUAUUUACAGGCAACAGGAAAGAGCAACCUGGAGUUAUGAUUGUGGAUGUAGAUUUGUAUCCCUUGGCAAGAGAACACUGGAACUGACAUCUUACAAAACUGGGAGUCGGUUGCAGAAAGGAUGACUCCCUAAAAACACCUAGAUUAAAGGAAGAUACUGUGGACUCUUCCCAAUUUGCCAAGUAAUUAUUUGGAGCACCUAUUAUAUCAAUCAUGUAAUGACUAAGAAGUAGUGCCCAAGGUACCAUUUUCCAGG
rnacentral:lncRNA from 1 species